UGGACGCUAACGAUUCUCUUCUCUGGCUGAACCAGCCAAUUUUCUUUUCCCCCCUCCGAUGAUUCUGGCCAUCAAAGAAGUGCCCCACUCACCCCACUACCGCUCAUGAACUUCAAUUCUUCAUCGUUUGAUAUUGCCUCCUGCUCUCUGGCACUGGCCUUCUCCCUGGAUUUGCUUCGGUUCUCCGUACUGCUCGCUCAAAUUAGGAGGAGGCGACUGUCAUCCGUACUCAGGCCCAGGAUUUCAUUCGAUUUUGUAUGCUACACACUGGUCAACACGAGCUGCUUGCAUCGCUGCACGAGGAAAAUUAGGAGGGCGCUAUUCCUCCAGGUCGACACGGACACUCUCCAUGCCGGCUCACUCACGGCGGCCAUCAUCAGGACCGUGAUCCACGAGAUGGAGAAGUGAUGGUCCGCAAACUGGAGGCCGACGCUCUGAGCUCAUCCGUCGCGGCACCUGAAACGGAGGCUAGCGCCAUGGACAGUCCCAGCAUGGCCGAUUGAUACUGCAGCUAGCACCGUCUUCGGUGUGGCCGCCCCCCAUGGCCUCCAUCAGGGCACCUUUGCCAAGUUGAAGGAGCAGGGCAAGGUAUGGCCUCCGCUCUCCAGCCUAGCCACGGCUCCGACGGUUGCACCGUAUUUUUGGUUCCAAUCCAUUGAACUAGGUUGCAAAUUGCGAUCUGCUAGACUGUAUGUGUUGGCUACACGCGCAGGCAUGGUCCUCCGGUUCAUACCUUGAUUUGGAUCAUUGGAUGGCGCCAGGGGACUUAUUUGCCUAUGAGCAGGUUGCAGCCUUUGUGGCCCUGCCCUCUGCCCGCCCUUAGGGGAUCUUGAUUGGGUGGUCACGAACCAAAAUAUUCAGAGGAUUUGUGUUAUCCAAGGCUGAUUUCCUCAUGAUUUGGUUUACUUAUUUGUGAAGAUGGAUAGACCACAAGAUUUAUGAUUCAUCCCUAUUUUUGUUAGUACUUCUUCAUUUGUGAAGACUGGGAGUUUCUUAGAUAAAAUCUGAUAGCACCAUGAAAAUUAGAUGCUGCAAAUACUGGUGAAGUCCCUUGAACUUUAUACCUAUUGAAGAAGAUAUGAAGAGCAUAUUCUCCUGUUGUGUUUCCAGUUAUUACCCAGGUAAGUAAUUGUUUUAGUUCCUGUGAUUCUAAAGUGUCAGUUUGUGCAUAUUGGCAUGAAAAUCAUACACCUAGCUUGCUGCAUGAAUCAUCUCACCAAUGUAAAACACACACCUGAUUAUAAAGUUUUUGAUUCUGAUAUCCAUUUGUUGCUUUAUUGAGAACAAAGAUGGUAGAUGCAUCUGCUAGCAAAUUUUGUAGGCAAUGUACAACCUAAACUAAUCUCUUUUAGUUCUGCUUGUGUGUAUUAUUGAUUCCUUUUAAAAUUUUAUUGGCUAAA